CCCAGGAGGCGGUCACCGCUGCCACAGGUGCAGGCUGUUAUCCUUGACAUCUGCAGCAGCCCUUCCAAGCUGUGGAGACCAGGUCAUCUGGAAUGCCCAUUUAUGUCAAUGGAAGAAAGAAAAAGGGGUCUCCUCCCAUCCUCACCACUGCAUUCUCCCACCAACCCUGCUCCUGUCCCACUUCCCACAACUCAGUUGUUGACAAUUUAACAGUGGGUUUCUGGAAACAGUGCUGCCUCCUUGAUGGUCUAACUAACUACCAGAGUUAUUCUAACAGCAGGAAUUUCAAGCCAGCAAACCAGACAUACAUAGGAGGCACAGCAAAAGACCCAAGGUGAGGGGCUUCCCUCACCUUCACCCUUGUUCUCACGUGGAGGUGGCGCAUGUCUAUGAGACACAGUACCCCACUCAGCGAUCCUCUGCAGUCCAGGAAAUUCUAGCACUUGCUUGGAAAACAAAUCAAGUGAAGCCUGUUGGCUUUUUGUGAGCUGCCUAUGGAGAAAUGCACAUGGCAAGGAACUGAGGGUUGCCUCCAGCAAACUGCUGGUGAGGGAGUGAGGCCUUCAGUCCAACAGCCUUUAAGGAACUGAAUCCUGCCAACAACCAUGUGAGUGGGCUUGGAGAUGGAUGCUACCACCAUCAAGCCUUCAGGAGUGAAUUUUUUUGUUCUUGAGACAGCGUCUCAUUCUGUUGCCCAGGAUGGAGUACAGUGGUGCCAUCUUCGCUCACUGCAGCCUUCGUCUCCCGGGUUCAAGCAAUUCUCCUGUCUCAGCCUCCCAAGUAGCUGGGAUUACAGACCCAUCAAGCCUUCAGAUAAGACUGCAGCCUCAUUACAGACCUUGAACUGGAGGCAGCCAGCUGAGUCACACCUGGAUUCCUGACCCUUAGAAACUAUGAGAUAAUAAAUGUUUACAGUUUUAAGCCACUAAGUUUCG
rnacentral:lncRNA from 1 species